rnacentral:rRNA from 1 species
CCGGGCUCGUGCUCGCCAGUGGAACAUUUGAACUCUUAUGUGAAAAUAGUCAGUCUGAGCAUUAUGCAAAUUAAAUAAAACUUUCAACAACGGAUCUCUUGGUUCCGGCAUCGAUGAAGAACGCAGCGAAAUGCGAUAAGUAAUGUGAAUUGCAGAAUUCCGU